rnacentral:miRNA from 1 species
UAGCUGACCUCUGUCCAAUUGACC